AGCAAGAUGGCCGAGUUAGCAGGCAGAAGAUUGUAGCUCUUCUCACGGGUUUACCCUCUUGUUA
rnacentral:tRNA from 1 species